GGUCCCUGGCCAGUCACUUGCGGAAGCCUCGCUCUCCAGGACCUCGGGAAAGAGGCACCCUACUCGAAUGCGUGCUUCUCCAGGAAUAUUUGCUCUGGUAAUUGCUGAGAAUAAAAGGCAUGUCUAACAGUUUGAUUGCAGAGACCUAGGAAGGGAAGGCUUAUAGCCGGCUUCUUCACAAUCCAACUGGAAGUAGGGUAGCCGGAUCCUGGCAUCCGUAUCUCCUGCUGGGUGAGGGUCACAGGAUCUCAGCGCCCAGGUGAGGCAACGAUGUUGAAAGAGGCUUCAGAAGAACUGGGCCAGAACAGUGGAAUCAAACGGAAAAGACUGGAAAUUCAAUCAGCUUGGGGAAUGACCAGAGAGCGUCUGUUGCCCAGCAAGGCUUGAAAACAGAGAUUCCCAGCAACAGGGCCAUAGCAAAGCUCUCUUAGCACACCUGCCCCGGACCGUCAGCUGAUGAGAGCUUGUGAUUGUGCCAUCCAAGGAGACGUAGCUAUUUGGUCUUCAGCUGGUUCUGGGCACAGAGCAUCUAAGACCCUUGGAAUCUUU